rnacentral:rRNA from 1 species
UACAGAGGGUGCAAGCGUUAAUCGGAUUUACUGGGCGUAAAGCGUGCGUAGGUGGUUUGUUAAGUCAGGCGUGAAAUCCUCGGGCUCAACCCGAGAACUGCGUUUGAUACUGAUAGACUCGAGUGUGGUAGAGGAUAGUGGAAUUCCCGGUGUAGCGGUGAAAUGCGUAGAUAUCGGGAGGAACAUCAGUGGCGAAGGCGGCUAUCUGGACCAACACUGACACUGAGGUACGAAAGCGUGGGUAGCAAACAGG